ensembl:lncRNA
CUGUACUGCAGAUGCACACAGACACACAGAUCCAGCUGCAGGAGCCUGAACAAUAAAGAUAAACAAUAAGGAGUUUAUACUGUAUCACAGUCAUGAGCUGCUUCUUCAGACCAGUGUGACGGGGAGGACGGGGCUGGAGAACUAUAGUGGGCUAUACUGUAUAUUCUCUAGUUUAAAAAGAAAUCUAAUGACAUGGUAAAAAAGCGACUUUCUAAAACAGAAGUAUGCUCAUUUAUCGGUGACGUGAGCUGAGAACAAAACUGCUGAUGUGAUUUUCCCCUCAAUCACAUCUUUGUAGCCUUUCUGGACCUUGAAGGUACUCCAGUGUUAUGCCACUGAGUCAAAAGACAAAUUUAAAGCAGACCGCUGCAUUCUUCUAGUACGUCUGGACUAAAUCUUCUUCUACUUGGUUUGUUUUUCUCCUGGCGAGAGAAUGAGGAUUCUUCAUGUUCUCACUUUUUGCUGCUUGUCAGCCGUGUGCGCGGGGGUCUCGGCCGUGCUUGAGGUGAGAGGCCAUGUUGGAGGAGAGGUCUCUGUCCACUGCUCUGGCGGCUGGACCACCGACAACGACUCCGAACACUUCAACAUGUACUUCUGCAAAGGAGACUGCUCCAGGGAAAACACCCUCAUUCAGACUGAGAGGAAGGCCUCGGCCAUCACAAGACGAGGGAGAUACAGCAUGGAGGUCAGCAGAGGAGAUGUAGCCUUCAAUGUGACCAUAAAUAGGCUGAGGAGGGCGGACACAGGGAGAUAUCACUGUGGUGUGGGCAAAGGCUUUAAUCUGUUGUACCAGGAGGUCAUUCUCAUAGUGCUAAAUGCGUCCACUGUUCCUCCUGGAUCUCCUCCCUCCACCACCACCACCCUGUGGACUGAAGCAGAAUCUCUGCCCCAGAGCAGCUUUCAACCCAGAACUGAACCGUCCCCAGCAGCAUUAACCCUGCCCGCUGCACAGGAGAAGACAAACCAGCGAGCAGCAACCAAACUCAAAGACACCACGGUGGUCAUCAUCGUCUCGGUGAGCCUGGCUCUUCUGGUUUGUGCGAUUAUACCUCUGAUAUUCUACAGACACUUCCGGAGUAACCCUGAACAUCAGAACCAUCCUGAAACAAACAAGGGCGAGGCGGAUUGCUCUGAGGGAAAUGCAGAUGUUGCCUCCACUCAGGCUGCAGUAGGCCUGCAGUCUUUACAGCCAGAUGCUGAUCCAGAGUCCGGUGCUCAGGAUGACGCCCAGUAUGCUGACACCUACCAGGCACUCAGUCACAAGAGUCUGGACUGAACAGGGUUUCCUUUGUUUCUGAGCUGAAAUCUGACCUCAAACUCUUCACUGUACUGACUAUAUGAUUUUAUUUUCAGGGUCAAAUAUAUACUAUUCCUUUACAAUUUGUAUGUUUGUACGAGACUAAAUGGAAGAAUAGGAAUGAGAGCAGGAAGGUUUUAGCAUGUUAAGGAAGCCUCAGUUAGACACAUCUGGUUCUGCGUGAUGAAAGUGAAGGUGUGUGCAGGUAGAUUUGCAGGAUUUAAAGUGAAACUCUCGCCAAAAUGCAACCUUUUUGUGAAUGUACCCGAGUCAAACCUUCAUGUAAAAGCAUAAUUACAACGAAAGCGCCACUUUUAAGAUUUACCGUAUUUUUGUUUACGGGUCAAACUCAUUUUCAAUGGAGUGCUACGGGCAUUUAUAUGAUAGCAUCAAAAUCGCUAUUUUUAAAACACUAAGAAGGCUCGACACAACAUGAAACUUUGCUAGUAGUAUCACGAGGGUCUCUACACAUGAACACGAGCAUUGAGAACAUUGUUUGUGUAUACAGAGUAAGGUUUUUGACUCAGGUACAUUCACAAAAAGACCCUAGGUUGCAUUUUGGCAAGAGUUUCACUUUAACUACGAUGUGGUCGUACAGGUAUGCAAGAAAAUUAGAUCAUGAAUGACGAAGGAAAUAUAACUCACAUUGUAAUUUGUACUUUCUUUUUAUGUAUGAAUUCAGUUUGUCAUAAUCAAACAGAAAACAUAUUUGACCUUUAGUGAUAUUUAUUUUAGGCUUUGUCUUUAGAAAAUUGAAAUAGUUUCGGAGAUAAAGUUCAAGAUCUGGAUAUCAGUGAGGUUAUAAUACAAAGAAGUAUUUAUCUUUUCCCUAACUGAAUAAACCUGCUGUUCUCAGAGGAAAAUAAGGUCCCUGUUUGAAGCUAGAAAGGUGGCAGGGUCCGCCAAAUAUAAACCAAGAAAAACAGUAUGAAAUUGUGAUGUCCUUUACGGUCAGUUUGUUUAUUCAGUUUAUUCAGCCCUGAAAACAAAGAGAGUUUGUUUAUUUGGUUGGUUUAUAUAAAAAUCAGUCAGUGAAGAUCUAUCUCUUCUGAUCAAAAUGCAUGCAUAGUACGCCUUUCAGUAUGUUCGAUAUGUUACAUUUGUACAUUUAGUUUCUUAUGGAUAUGUUAACAUUUUUGAUGUAACAAUUACCUUUCAGUUUUCAAUUCUAUGUUGUGACAACGCUGUGCUAAAGGUCUUCUUAGGUUUAGGCACAAAAACAGCGUAAUUAGUCAGGAGUCAGGAUCAUGUGAUAAAAGAUCAUGUUUGGACCUAAAAUACCUGGUUUUCCUGUCAUUGUGACACAGUAAAAGCAUAAAAAAAG